rnacentral:sRNA from 1 species
GCCAGGUGUGGUGGCGCUCGCCUAUAACCCCAGCAACUUAGAGGCUGAGGCAGGAGAAUGGCAGGUUGGAGGUCAGCCUGGACAACUUAGCAAGACCCUGUCUCAA